rnacentral:lncRNA from 1 species
AGACUUUUCUAAGAAGCUGCGGGCUGGUGCUGGACAGGCCUGAUGCGGAGGCCUGGUGUGUUGCCCUUCAAACAGAUAGGGAACAGUUCUAGAAGGACACUAUAGAAUGUAAGCCUCCUCCCAGUCCCUCUUCUUUCCUAUUUUGUUACCUAUGCCUGAGAGUCUCCAUUGGGCUCCUAAUUGCUGGUUCCUAGCUUAACAAUACUGGAGACAAGGGCAGAAAUCCCUUGGUAGGUCUUCAUGAGGGGAGCCUCGUUCUUAUUGCCCCAUACUUGUCUAGCUUCUUACUCCUUAUGCAUGACCCUCUCUGUUGGUCGACUGAUGUCCUUCUCGCCUUUUCCACAAGACUAAUUCCCCUACUCCUCCAUUUGUUCAUGUUUUCCCUGUUUGGACUCUUUGAAUGCAUUCCCCUUUGUUUAUAAUUGUGGUCUGCAUUUUAAGCACAUACACCGGUUCUUUACAGACCAAAUACAUGCAUGUCUACCAGUCUGUGUGAAAUAUAAGAAAAGCUUACUUUUCAUGGAUAACCUGUGAUAAACAAACAUGAGCAGGAGUUUUAUAUUCUUCCCUGCCCACCACCAGGUCAUUUUGCAGAUUCUGUAGCGGAUAUCACUGAGCACAGUACCAGAUCACUGCUGGGCUCUUGAGGUUGGUUCCAAGUCAUGCAUUUAUCCACUCAUUCAUCAUUUUAAGUGACUACUGUGCUCAAGCCCUGGGCUAGGCUUGGGAGCUAAUAGGAAGGAGGCCCAACCUCUAUUGCUCGGGAGCUCAGACUGUGGGAAGAGAGGUACACAUAAAAUAACUCCUUAAAGGGAGAAGAGAGAAAUAACUGCCCAUGAGAGUCAGGAGAAGCCUCACAGAGGAUUAUUUGUACUGUGGUGAAAGAAGAGUGGGGGUUUGCUCUGUUAUGAAAUGGAGAGAGGCCCUUCUAGCACAGGGAAUGCAAGGGCACAAAGGUGAAGGAGGA